rnacentral:lncRNA from 1 species
GUUUCAUCUAAGAAUGUCUGUUCCCAUGGUUGGUCUGCUUGUGAGUGGUAUUUGUUGAUAGGAGAAGAAGGUCUACAGGGAGACAAGGGGCAGAAGUAGCUACAUGAUACAGGAAGUAAAAGCAAGGCAUAUGUUGUUGUUGUUUUAAAGCCUGAAAGAACUAUGAGAGAAAGAAAAAUGCAGGAGACAGAGGAGCUAAGCUUUAUCCCAGAGAGCAUGAGGCAUGUUUAUCAAAGGCCAUCAAGAUGCUUUUGAAGAGGUUUUCUGGCGAAAAACUGAUGUUGUCAGGCCCCUUGUCACAGGCCCUGACCCCCUGAACUCAGGAAACUCCUAAAGGUUUCUGCUCAACUGCCAACCUUACUUUUUAGAAACUAGCCAACUGCUGGAACAGAAAAAGAAACAUUUGAGGAAGACUUCUCAGAUUAAUCAG